rnacentral:lncRNA from 1 species
GGUAACUCAUUACCAUGGGGAGGGCAUCAAUCCAUUCAUGAGAGAUCCAUCCCCAUAACCCAAACACUCCCAGUAGGCUCUACCUCCAACACUGGGGAUCACAUUUCAACAUGAGAUUUGGAAGGGCCAAAAUAUCCAAACUGUGUCAGAAUCCAAACAUGGGCUGUUUGAUUACGUGGAAAAUUGUCCAGGUUUCCUUAUCGCUCAUGAAACUCUUUUAUAUCCAUCCUACAGAGAGAUGACUCAUGGCCCAGGUGAAAUUCAGGUCCAAGCUCUGGAGAGUGUGUGGGGACUGGUGAAAAGACAUGGUUUUAUUGUUAUCUGUUUAGUUCCUGCUGCGGAAGAUGAGACUCUCGCUCUCUUUGUCAUUUCCCCACAUGCACAGAAACACACAUAUUUCUACUUUUCUCAUCCUCUCAACAGGCUAUCAUAACUUUGGUUAAAUCAAUAGUCAGUGUUUGUAUAUUAUUAUUGGAUAAAUAUUACUUACAGUGGAACCCAUUUUGUGUAUGAUUAGAUAUUCUUUCUUGUAGAACUUUAUGUUUAUCCAGGAGUUAAUACUUAUCUGAUUAUUUUCAGUUGCUUAAUGUCCUAUACACCUGUUAUUAAUUUAUGCUGAACUCUCCAACAGAAACUGAAAUCUUGUCUUACUAUGUUUAAACACAUUGGGUAUUCUACAAGUUUCUUUUCUUAUUUAUGUAUAAUUCUCCUAGGGCUUUCCAUCUUCCUGCUCUAGUCUAAACUGGUUGUUCUCUAGGCCAGUGGCAAUGUUAUCAUCCUGAUAUUCUCCUUCACCAUCAGCCUGGGAGUUCUGUUGGUUUUUCUCCUGUAUGGAAUCCUCUAUUUCCUGUUAUUUUUAAAAACUUGGUGUCAACCCUAAUUUUCAUGGGUAUAUUUAUGCAAUAACUUUUCAGAAAAAGAUACAAAAAAAGCAACAUUUUUUUUCCUGUGAUUUUGCUUACUUGAAAAUAUCUUUAUUCCAUGGGUCAGCCAACUAUAGGCUGUAGGCUAAAAUCCUCCCAUUUUAGUGAAUAAGGUUUUAUUAGAAUACAGCCACAUCCAUUUGUUUACUUAUUAUAUAUUAUGCCACAAUGGAAGAUUUGAGAAAUUGCAAUAAAGAACAUUUAGAUGAUAAAAUCUACAACAUUUAUUAUCUGGACCUUUACGAAGCAAAUAUUUGCUAACACUUGCUUUAUUCUAUGUUCACACAAAAUUGUUAAUUUUGCUAGAUAUAGAAUUUUAAAGGGCUUUUUUUUUAUCUUCUAGCUUCCAGAGUGAAUGUUUAAUAGCCUUACAACAUUCUGAUUCCUAAUCCUUUAUAUAAAAACUGUUAUUUUGUUUGUUUUUGGAAGCUUCUGAAACCUUCUCCUUGUUCUUGGUAUGAACACUUGUUUUUCUAAUGCAAUAAACACAUGAUGAACCCACUCAACAUAAAA